CCCAGUCUCCUCAUGAUGUGACAGUAACAGAGGGGGGUACUGUUCAGAUCCAGUGCUGCUGGAAUAAAAAUGUGUCAAGAGCGACAGUUUAUUGGCAAAAAGAGCACACCGGGAUAAAAUAUAAGCGUGUACUGGUCGACAACAGUCAGUGUCAGGACAGGGCAUCUCAGCAGACUGUAGUCUGUUACUGCUCAAAUUGGACCAUCUCAAACCUCACUAGAAAUGACUCUGGCACUUACAUCUGUAAAGUUCAUGUAGAGAUGCCAUCUCUUUCUGAAUUCGUGGGGAAUGGGACACAGAUAACAGUUACAUCCCAAAAUAAGACAAACAAUGCAGAGCUCCCAGCAGAAAAGCAGUCCCUGCUGCUGUCUAUCAUGCGUCCUCUUGCUGUCCUGUCGCUGUUCCUCACCGCCCUCAUCUGCCUGUACAGGGCACGGAAAAGACACCAAGUGUCAAGUCCAGGUGUAUGAAUCACUCGAUUACAUGUCUAUACCGACCCAAGACAAAGGUUAAGGACCUGCUCAGCUCAGCCCAGUCUGUGAAUGUAUUUUCUAUGAGUGUAUUUUUCUAUUAUGUGGUCCUCUGUAGCUCAGCUGGUAGA